rnacentral:rRNA from 1 species
AUGCCUAACACAUGCAAGUCGAACGAAGGCUUCGGCCUUAGUGGCGCACGGGUGAGUAACACGUGGGAACCUGCCUUUCGGUUCGGAAUAACGUUUGGAAACGAACGCUAACACCGGAUACGCCCUAUGGGGGAAAGUUUACGCCGAGAGAGGGGCCCGCGUCGGAUUAGGUAGUUGGUGAGGUAAUGGCUCACCAAGCCUUCGAUCCGUAGCUGGUCUGAGAGGAUGAUCAGCCACACUGGGACUGAGACACGGCCCAG